UACGGAGGGUGCAAGCGUUGUCCGGAUUUAUUGGGUUUAAAGGGUGCGUAGGCGGCCCGUUAAGUCAGUGGUGAAAGCCUCCAGCUCAACUGGAGAACUGCCAUUGAUACUGGCGGGCUUGAGUACAGACGAGGUAGGCGGAAUUGAUUGUGUAGCGGUGAAAUGCAUAGAUACCAUCAAGAACACCGAUUGCGAAGGCAGCUUACUAAGCUGUAACUGACGCUGAGGCACGAAAGCGUGGGGAUCGAACAGG
rnacentral:rRNA from 1 species